rnacentral:lncRNA from 1 species
GUUCACAUGGAAGGUUGGUUUGCCAUGUGAGAUGAGAUAAUUGAGCUACAUAUUGCAGUACAUCCAGCUUAAUUGCACUUCUCUGUGUAGACACUGUGAGACAACCAUCAUCAGCAUGAUUAUAUCUUGCAAUGGCCUUGAUGAUUACCGUUCUUUUUUUUUUUUUGCUGACACAGGUAUUUCAGCAUAUUGCCACCUUCCAUACGUCUUUUAUCUUCCAAGUACUCAAGAUACCAUGUCUUCCUUUUCUUGACCACUUUUAUUAGUAAAAACAGCAAGUAGUUCCUAAACAUUGCAUCUUUAUUAUGAAGGAUACAUAGCAAGGCUAGUAAAUAGCAGCAUAGGGCGCAAG